AGCGAACGCUGGCGGCAGGCUUAACACAUGCAAGUCGAGCGGGCACCUUCGGGUGUCAGCGGCAGACGGGUGAGUAACACGUGGGAACGUACCCUUCUGUUCGGAAUAACGCUGGGAAACUAGCGCUAAUACCGGAUACGCCCUUAUGGGGAAAGGUUUACUGCCGAAGGAUCGGCCCGCGUCUGAUUAGCUAGUUGGUGGGGUAACGGCCUACCAAGGCGACGAUCAGUAGCUGGUCUGAGAGGAUGAUCAGCCACACUGGGACUGAGACACGGCCCAGACUCCUACGGGAGGCAGCAGUGGGGAAUAUUGGACAAUGGGCGCAAGCCUGAUCCAGCCAUGCCGCGUGAGUGAUGAAGGCCUUAGGGUUGUAAAGCUCUUUUGUCCGGGACGAUAAUGACGGUACCGGAAGAAUAAGCCCCGGCUAACUUCGUG
rnacentral:rRNA from 1 species